ensembl:lncRNA
UGCAGCAGCAACAGCACAUGAUGGAGACGAUGAUGAGGAGACCAUCUCUCUGGAUUCCAGAAGGCAUGAGGACCCAGAUGCUAUACAGUGGGAAAACCAGCCUGGCAACAUAGUGCGUAUUAAUAAAAGGACACCACAUCCUGCCAAAUUCCAGCUGCGCUAAUUGUAUUGUGUUCACAGAGCUCACAAGCUAUCAGAAAGUUGUAUGGCAACCACCUCCGGCGCCAAAUAGAAAUGGCAGACAUAGACAUUCAGUACAAGAAGAAAAAAGAUGGAAAAUCUUGCACUGGAGUUCGAAAUAAAAAAGAGGACAAUUAGGAAACUGGACCUUGAAAUAAAAAAACUUGAGAGGGAGCUCCAAGAAGAUGACACAGCUCAAAAUAAAAAUUAGGUAUAUUCUCGUAAAGUCAAGUGAGCCAUGACAUAUGAGCUCUUAUUGUGAGCACACAGGACGGUGGCAUCUUUCUAAGGUUUUUUUUUAUUUUCCCAGCAAUCAGUACAACCAAGUCAUCGUUAUAAGGCAUCGCCCUCUUUUG